rnacentral:lncRNA from 1 species
AAAAAAAUAAGCUGCAGAGUAAGUCAGUACACAAAUGUCAAUCACACAAUAAAAAGUCAAAAAUAAUUUUUAAGAAUAUGCAUGUGCUUAUAAAACUGAUCUGAAGGAUCAGUGUUUGUGCUUGGGAGUGCAUCUGGGAAAGAAACUAGUGCCAUUUUCUGGCUCCUCUAAGCUUUGGAGGUACUCGGGGCUCUGACCUGGACCCCUUCUUUCUCUGUCUCCAUACUUGGUCUAGCUCACCUCACCCAGUCAGAUGGUUAGCAGUGUGCAUUAGCUAUGUGUUAAUGAUGUCCAAAUCCACAUCUCCAGCUUUGGAGCUGCAGACCCAUCCAAUUAACCAUUCCAUCUGUCUCCAAGGACAUCAAAUAUGCAUUUCCAAUGUAAUAUGAGAAAAACAACUCCAGAUUCCUCCCAUGCCCAACUUACUACUCUCUGGUAAUUUUCCUCUCAGUAGAUGGUACCACCAUCCAUGAAAAUACAGAUAGUAACCAUGGUUCUUCUAUCUCCCACGUCCGCCACAUCUACUCAAUAUAUCUCACCUGUUAAAUCUGCAAAAUGACCACGUCCCUCUAAUGCUAACACUGCCAGGCUAGUCCCAGGGACCAUCAUAUCUCCAAAAAACCACAGAGGCAUCUUCUGACCUCUCUGCUUCAACUCUCUUACACUUACUGUCAACAGGUGGCACGAUUGUUUAAAAAUAUCAAUAUAACUAUUUCACCUCCCUUUUAAACUCAUGCAAAGGGACUUUUGUUUCUGGCAAUACGAGGGACUAGAUUUCCUCUGAUAUCCUUCCAAUAAAGAUUUUCCUAAAUGAUGGAUACAGAAAAAAUUAGAUUUACUACUCUGAUGGGACAAGCAAAGAAAAUCUAGAGAAGCCAGAAAUGAUGAGAAAGUGUGAAUCCAGAAACGUAUUUCAGAAUUGACUCUGGGUCUUGGGAGCAAAUCUGGUCUACAGAAGCUGAGAGGCAGGUAUUUUGUGUGUGGUAAAAUAUACAUAACAUAAAAUUUACCACUUUAAAGUGUACAGUCAAGUGGCAUUGAAUACAUUCACCUUGUUGUGCAAUCACUACCAUCCAUCUCCAGAACUUUCAUCAUUCAAACUGAAACUCUGUAUCAAUUAAACACUAACUCCCCAUCUUCUCCUUCCCCCAGCCUCCGGUAGCCACUGUGCUACUUUCUGUCUCUGAAUUUGACUAUUCUAGGUACCUCAUAUUAGUGGAAUCAUACAAUAUUUGUCCUUUUGUGUCUGGCUUCUUUCACUUAACAUAAUGUCUUCAAGGUUCAUCUAUGUUUUAACACGUAACAGAAUUUCCUUUUUUUAAGAAUUUCCUUUUUUAAGACUAUUCCAUUUUACAUACUGUUGACCUAAGCAAAUAAAACAGCCUGUUAUUUCACCAGCAAAAGGGGUUUAUUCAAGAAUAGCAGAAGAAUUACAAUUCAGGACAAACUAUAGCAAAAGCCAUAGGCAAGUUCAGCACACAAAGGAGAGAAAUGUUAUUUUAUAGAGAAAAAGGAGUAAGUUGGGAGGGGUUGUUUUGAACAAAAGGCCAUUUGUAGCAAGUGAGAGUUCACGGUGGUGAUGAUUUCUCCUGGGCUGAGUUGCUGGGGUAGUCAAUUUCUUGUUGGGAAUGCAAUGGACAUAUUUUCCUGUUGGGGUCUGUAAUUGAUGAUUCUUUCUGUAAUUGAUAUCAAGUGGUAGUGCAUGAAGGCUCCCCCUUCUAGCCUCCCAAUCUCAUUUAAAAUGAGGUUUCCUUUAUUCUAGUCCACUGUGUAAGGAAGUAAGUACACUGUGCCGAAAACCCUGGCUUCCAGCUGUUUCAGAUCAUCUAGGUAAGGGCCUCACACACUGCAGUUCACGGCCUACACUCAGGCUCUGCCUCCCGUGUCAGGAAAGACUGUCCCUGCUGAACUCAGAUGCCCAUAGUUGUGGAGGGAUUUCUUCCAAGGAGAGAUUGAAAACCUUUCCCUCUCUCUGGGACAGUUUAGCUGUUACUUUUGGACAGUGUGGGUACACAGUUUAGAACAACUGCUUGUGGCUCUUUAAUAUAGUUUUUAAGUCACUUUUAAUUCUAUGCCAAGCACUCAAGACACUGGCUGUCAAAUGCAUGUCAUGAAGGAAAACCUGCUGACCUCACCACGUCAAGAGGUGAAACUGACUUUUUCCCAGGGGAGCUUUUAAACAUUUCACAAGGCUGGGAGAGCGUCUCUAUCGCACACAUUCAAGGAAAGUGCUCUGUGUGUAAAACCUCCAGCCGGUAGCUCUGAGGAUCAUCCUGGUAACUUCCUUUCCACGCAUGGCAGAUCAUGGCCUCCCUCAGGCUGUCUCCCAUGGCGUGAAAGCGUGUUCCUGCUGCACUCAUCUGCCCACAGCUGUGAAGGGACUUCUUCCAAGGAGGGAUUGAAAACCCCUUCCUACCGCUGGGAGAGAUUAUCAGUAACUUUCAUUCAAUGCGGGUUCAUGGCUUAGAAAAACUUCUCCUUGUGGCUCUGUAAUAUCAUCUUCAUGAGUGACUUUUAAUCCAGCGCUGAGCAGUCUACACACAGGCUCUCACAGGCAUGUGAUGAGAGAAAACUAUCUCUGAGCUGAGCUUGCCAGGAACUGCAAGUGACAUUUGACUAGGAGAGCUUUGAAACAUUUCAAUACUGCUGGGAGACAACUUCUAUCACACACAUUGAACGAAAGUACAUUGUGCAGAACAGCCCCGGCUUCUAGCUCUUUUGGAUCAUCUAGGUAAGUGCCUCACACAUCGCAGUUCUCAGCCUUCGCCCAGGCUCCCUCCUAUGUCAUGAAAGCAGGUUCCUACUGCACUCAGUUGCCUGUGUCUGUGAAGGGACUUCUCCCAGGGAGAGACUGAAAACUGCUCACUAGCGCAGCCACCGAAUGUCUCUAACUUUAUACAAUGCGGGUACACGGUUCAGAAGAACUCCUGCUUGUGGCUCUUGAACAUCGUCUUCAAGAGUGACUUUGAAUUCAGUGCGGAGCAGUCUAGACACAGGCUCUCACACGGAUGUGAUGAAGGAAAACUAUUGUGACAUCACCACACCAGGAGGUUCACGUGACAUUAUCCCAGGAGACGUUUCAUGCAUUUAAGUACAGCUGGGAGAGAAUAUCUAUAAGCUCCAUUCGAGGAAAGUACACUGUGCAGAAUAGCCCCGGCUUCCAGCUGUAUCAGAUCAUCUAGGGCGGAGCCUCACACAUUGCAUUUCGUGGCCUUCACUCAGGCUUUCUCUCCCACGCCAUGAAAACAUGUUCCUGUUGCACUUUGCUCUCCAUCACUAUGAAGGGACUUCUUCCACGGAGAGAUUGAAAAGCCUUCACUGCCUCUGGGAAUGAUUAUAUGUAACUUGUUUUCUAGGCAGGUACACAGUUUAGAAAAUCUGCUUGUGGCUGUUUAAUACCAUCUUCAAAAGUCACUUUUAAUUCACUGCUGAGCAGUCUAGACACAGACUCUCCCACGCAUUUGAUGAAGGAAAACAUUAGUGACCUCACCGCGCCAGGAGGAGGAAGUGACGUCUUCCCAGAGGAGUUUCUAAACAUUUCAAUACAGAUGGGAGAGAAUAUCUAUGAGCUCCCUUCUAGGAAACUUCGCUGUGCAGAAUCAUCCCGCCUUCUAGCUGUAUCAGAUCAGCUAGGUCAGAGCCUCACACAUUGCAGUUCACGGCCUUCACUCAGGAUUUCUAACCCAGGACAGGCAAACAUGUUCCUAGUGCACUCUACUCUCCAUAGCUCUGAAGAAACUUCUUCGAAGGAGUUCUUGAAAUACUUUCACAACCAAUGGGAAUGAUUAUCUGUAAAUUUUCUACAAUGUGGGUAUAAGAUUUAGAAAAACUCCUGCUUGUGGGUCUUUAAUAUGGUCUACAUAAGUGACAUUUAACCGAAUGCUGAGCAGUCUUGCAGACACGUAGGCUCUCAGCAGCAUGUGAUGAAGGAAAACUAUUACUGAGCUCAACUUCCCAGGAGCUGCAAGUGGCAUUUGACUAGCUUUUAAAUGUUUCACUGCUGCUGGGACACAAUAUCUACAGGACAUAGUCAAGGGAAGUGCACCAUGCAGAAAAGCCCUGGCUUCCAGCCAUUUCAGAUCAUCUAAGUAAGCGACCCACUUAUUGCAGUUCACAACCUUCGCUCAGGCAUCUGUCUCCCUUGUCAUGGAAUAUUUUCCCUGCUGAACUCAAGUGUCUGUAGUUGUGAACAGAAUUCUUCGAAGGAGAGACUGAGAACAUUUCUCUACCCUUGGGACAGAUUAUUUGUUGCUUUCGGACAAUACGAGUACGUGGUUGAGCAUAAUAAAUGCUUGUGGUUCUUUAGUAUCAUUCUCUUAAGUGACUUUUAAUUCUAUGCCUAGCAGUCAAGACGCUGGCUGUCAAGCGCAUGUGGUGAAGGAAAACUACUGCUGACCUCACCAUGCCAGGGGUUGAAGCGACGUUUUCCCAGGAGAGGUUUUAAACAUUUCACUACUGCUGGGAAAUAGUAUCUCUAACACACAUUCAAGGAAACUACACUGUGCAGAAAGCCCUGCCUUCCAGCAGCUUCAGACCGUCCAGGUGAGUGGAUCACACAUUGCAGCUCUGGGUCUUCACUCAGGCUCUCUCUCCCAUGACGUGAAAGCACGUUCCUGCUGCGUUCAGCAGUCCAUAGCUGUGAAGGGACUCCUUCCAACGAGAGCCUGAGAAGCUGUUCCUGCCACGGGGAAUGAUUAUCUGUAACUUUCACACAAUGUGGUACAUGGCUUAGAAAAACUUCUGCUUUGGGCUCUUUAAUGUCAUCUUUACAAGUGACUUUUGGUUCAAUGCUGAGCAGUCUAAAUCGAGGCUCUCACAUGCGUGUGAUGAAGGAAAACUGUUGGUGACCUAACCAUCCCAGGUGGGGGAAGUGACAUUUUCCCAGAAGAGCUUUUAAGCAUUUCACCACGGCUGUGAAAAAUAUCUAUAACACACACUCAAGGGAAGCACAGUUUGCAGAAAUGCCCUGGCUUCAAGCUGUUUCAGAUCAUCUAGUUAAGUACCUGAUACAUUGCACUUCAUGGCGUUCACUGAUGCUCUGUCUCCCUUGUCAUGCAAGGUUGUCCCUGCUGAACUCUGAUGCCCAUAGCUGUGAAGGGUCUUUUUCCAAGGAGAGAUUGAAAAGUGUUCACUACCAUGGGGACUGAGUAUCUCUGCCUUUCAUACAGGGUACACACUUUAGAAAAACCCCUGCUCAUGGCUCUUUAAAUCAUAUUCAUAGGUGACUUUUUUUCUUCUUCUCCCCAAAGCCCCCCUGUACAUAGUUGUAUAUUCUAGUUGUAGGUCCUUCUGGCUCUGCCAUGUGGGAUGCUAUCUCAGCAUGGCUUGGCAAGUGGUGCCAUGUCUGUGGCCAGACUCUGAACUAAUGAAACCCUGGGCCACUGAAAUGGAGCACACAAACUUAACCACCGGGCCCUGGGACUGGCCCCCAUAAAUGAAUUUUAAUUCCAUGCCGAGCAGUCUACACACAGGCUCUCUCACAUGCAUGUGAUGAAGAACAACCAUUACUUAGCUCAUCUUGCCAAUGGCAACAAGUGACAUUUUCCUAGGAGAGCUUUUAAACAUUUCACUACAACUGGGAAAGACUAUCUAUAAGCUCCAUUCAAGGAAAGUACACUGUGCAGCGUCGUCCUGGCUUCUAGCUGUUUCAGAUCAUGUAGGUAAGAGUCUCAUUCAUGGCCGUCCCUCAGGCUCUUAACCCAUGACAUGAAAGCAUGCUCCUGCUGCCCUCCACUGCCCAUAGCUGUGAAGGGACUUCUUCCAAGGAGAGAUUGAAAACCUUUCACUACCUCUAGGACAGGUUAUCUGUAACUUUUGUACAGUGAGGGUACAUGGUUUAGACAAACUCCUGCUUGUGGCUCUUUAACAUCGUCUUCAUAAUUGUCUUCUAACUCAGGCCUGAGCAGUCUAGUCACAGGCUCUCACAGGCCCUUGGUGAGGGAAAGCUAUGGCUGAGCGCAGGUGGCCAGGUGGUGGAAGUAACAUUUUUUAGGAGAGCUUUUAACCGUUUCACUACAGCUGGGAGAGAAUAUCUAUAAUAUCCAUUCAUUGAAAGUACAAUUUGCAGAAAAGCUCUGACCUGUAGCUGUUUCAGAUCAUCCUGGUAAGUUCCUUUACACACAUUGCAGUUCACACCCCUCAUGCAGGCUCUAUCUCCUGUGUCUUGAAAGCAUGCUCCUGCUGAACUGAGUUGCCCGAAGCUGUGAAUGGACUUCUUCCAAGGAGAGACUGAAAGCCAUUCACUGCACUGGGAGCAGGUAAUCUGUAACAUCUGUUUUAUGAGAGUUUAUGUGGGAGAAACACCCUUUAUUGUGCCUCUUUAGGAUCAUCUUGAAUAGUGACUUCUAAUGCCUUGCUGUUCAGUCUACACAGAGGCUCUCACUCGCAUGUGAUGAAGGAAAACUAUUGCUGAAUUCAGCUUGCCAGAGCUGGAAGUGACAUCGUCCUGGGAGAAACUUUAAUCUUUUCACUACAGCUGAGAGAAUAUCUAGAACAUCCACUCUUGGAAUGUCCACUGUGCAGAGCAGCUUUGGUUUCUAGCAGUUUAGGAUCAUCCUGGUAAGUGCUUUUGCUCACAUUGCGGUUCACUGCCUUCCCUCAGGCUCUCUCCCAUGUCGUGGAAGCAUGCUCCUGCUGAACUCAGAUGCCCACAGCUAUGAAGGGGCUGCUUCAAUGGAGAGAUUGAAAAAUUUUCACUUCAACUGGGCUAGAUUAUAUGUACCUUUCAGUCGAUGUGGUUACACUGUGUAGAAAAUCUCCAGCUUGUGGCUCUUCAGUAACAUCUUCAUAAUUGACUUUUCAUACAUGGCAUUCAGUCUACACAGAAUCGCUCACUCUCAUGUGAUGAAGGAAAACUAUUGCUGAGCUCACCCUGACAGGAGCUGGAGGUGACAUUUUCCUAGGAGAGAUUUUUAACAUUUUACUACAGCUAGGGGAGAAUAUCUGUAGCAUCCAUUCAAGGAAAGUACACUGUGCAGAAAAGCUCUGGCUUGUAGCUGGUUAGGAUCGUCCUUCUAAGUGCCUUCUCACACAUUGUAUUUCUGAGGCUUCAUUCAGAUUGUCUCUUCUAUUUCAUGAAAUCAUGUUCCUGCUGAACUCGGCUGCCAGUAUCUGUGAAGGGACUUCUUCCAAGGGGAGAUUUAAAAGUCUUCACAACAGCCAGGACAGUGUCAGGGCAGGGAAAAUCUCCUUUCUUCCCUUCUUAGGUUCUUAUGGCUGGACUAAGAGUAAAAUUGACACAAGAUCAGAUUAACAAGAGAAAAACCGAGUUUACUACAUACCUUUUGGAGACCAUAAAGAAGUGAUGUUCAGAGAGUGAAGAAAACAGGCAGGAUAUACAUCUUUUAUGCCAAGAAACGUAAAUUUGUGAAAAAUUGACAGGACAAAGAAACUUACGUGUGGGGCAUGUAACUAGUGGGGAAUUUAGGAUGAGAUAGUAAAUUAGCAAGGUUUGUUUAUGCAGCUUCUCAGCCAUCAGUCCCCCAGCUCUGGUGAUAAGGAUGCAGAGAGAAGACCUUUCACAUAGGAGAUUCAUUUCCUGCUUUCAGGGGAACAGAGACAGGAGGGUCAGAAAGCCCUUUGAACUUCAGGAGUAACUUCAAUUCAAAAUAAUAAAGCCACUGUGGGAUCUUUUGGGGUGGCCUGCCCUGGGCCCCAACAAUAGCUAUUAACUGUACUGCCCUGGGCCUCAGGGUUUAUAGCCCAAGGCAGUCCCAUAGCCUCUGGAAAGAAAGGCAGAGGGAUUGUUCUCAGGGCCUUGUUGGACCUCUCCUAAUUUAGACCAGUUAAUAGUUGGCUGGCUUACUAUUUGUGUGGCUUUCAAAAGCAGACUCCAAAAAUAUCCUUGCUUUUCUUGAUCAUCAGGGUUAUUGGGAUUCCACUCAGGGUUAGUCUCCAGCACAGCCCUCUCAUGAGGCCUGUGAAAUUCUGACCCAGGGACAUAUUUCUUUCUGCUCCAGCCUGAUGUGCAGCCCACAGCAAAGUGACUGGGCACCCAACCUCUCCUACCACUGUCCCCACCACUGCUGCUCAUGGCCCCUGGGCUGAGCCAGGCUUGGCUGAGCAUAGAGGAGCCCGCCUGCCCUCAGGCCACCCCUCCCAUCACCACCAUGACAGGACAGGGAGCACUGGGCUGCCCCUCUCCGCCUUCCUCACCACCUUCCCAUCCACACUGCCUUCCCCCCUGGGCCACCGCCACUACCAAUAACUCUGAGGACAUGCCAAUUUCAAUCAAACCAACAAACACACACACAAAAGACAAACACAUCCACACAAAGACAAACCCGACUCCUGUAGGUCAAAAACAAAAGGUGAAGUCCAACAAUCCCCUGGAUCUCUCCCAAAGGUGUCUGCUUUCACACACUCAAAAUGCAAAUGGAGAUACAAAGAUUGACAACUGGGAGUGUCGUAAUAACUCAUGAAGCAAAUGCAAAACCAACUCCAGAAGGACAAAAACAGAAGAUGAAGUCCAAGAAAACCCUGGAUCUCUCCCAAAUGAUAGACUCUCCUUUCUAAUGAAUCACUCACACAAAAGCAAAUGGAGAGACAGGGAAUUCACAACUGCACAUGUCAUGGCAACUCAACUGACAACAGACUCACAUAUAAGACAAAUACAUACUCACACACAAGGACAAAAGCCCAACCUGUUUCUCCAAUCCAAGGGAGCGUUGCACCUAUGGUGGCAGAUACUGGCAGGGAGGGAGGAGCAGGAGAGCAAGUCCCCCAGGCAAAGACUUUCCCACAGCUUCUGGGGACCACCAACCAGUGGAACCCUCACCAGGGCCGUCCAGCCACAGGCACAAGAUUCCUGACUGGCUUGCCAAAAUUGAUACCAAACCUCUUAAUCUCAUUUGUG